UUUAAUAAAAUUUAAAUUUCCCAUUCUCAGCAGACGCAUUCGACUCGCCAACUGACCCAGCGACUCGAUUCCCGCACUCAGCAGUCACCGGCGGACCCAUUCUCAGCCACGAAGCCGCCUUUUGGCGUUGAGUCUUCCCCGCCAGUCCCCGUCGGCGGCGUUCUCGCCCACUCCACCUCCAUAAGGUCUUCCUCUCCGUCUUGUGUUCGUCGCUAUCGGCAGUAAGGUCGAAAGUGAGGAGCAAGAGAAUGGGUUUAUGUGGGUUUGUUAUGAAAAUCCCAAAGGAAGAGGUUGAACUGAUCACGGAGAAAAAGAAAGUUGUGAUAUCUUCAGAAAUGGUUAUAAGGGUUCUUAAGUCUACUAAGGACCCACAUUCUGCUUUUUCAUACUUAUGGUUGUUGCUGGGCUACCUUACGUUGUUCACACCACUGAAACGUGCAAUUACAUGCUUGAAGUCUUGAUGACUCAUAAGAGGAUAUGGCUGUUGUUUUUGAUUUCAUGCAAAAGAACAAGGUUCACCGAACUUUGAACACUUAUCUUGCUAUUUUUAAAGGUCUUCACAUAAGGGGUGGAAUUCAACGAGCACCGAUGGUGCUCGAGAAGAUGAGAAAGGCUGGGUUUGUUUUGAAUGUGUAUUCAUAUGAUGGGUUGAUCUAUUUGCUUCUCCAGUCAGGGUUUUGUAGGGAGGCUUUGGACGAUUACAACAGAAGGUCAUGAAAGGGAUGAAGCCAGGCUUGAAGAUUUAUUCUGAACUGAUGGUGGCAUUUGGAAAGCAAAAAGAUACUCAAAUUGUAAUGGGUUUGUUAGAAGAGAUGGGACAUUUGGGAUUAAGGCCUAAUAGUUACACAUUUAACAUAUGCAUUAGAGUUCUUGGAAGGGCCGGGAAAAUUGAUGAGGCUUAUGAUGUAUUGAAGAUAAUGGACAAAGAGGGAUGCGGGCCAAAUGUUAUUACUUAUACAGUUCUCAUUGAUGCUCUAUGUAACGUAGGUAAACUUGGUAAUGCAAAGGCAUUAUUUGUAAAGAUGAAAGCUAAUGGUCACAAACCUGAUCUCAUAACUUACGCAACUUUGUUGGACAAGUUAAGUGAUAUGCAAAGCCAAUUCGUCCCUUGAGUAUUCAGUGGGAGAACCACCUUGAUGAACAAUCUUUAUAGCUGCUUUAUUUGUUCUUCACCUUGAGCACAAGGUGAAACUUGGGGUGGUGGGUAUUUAUAAGAAUUCACUAAAGGGUAGGGAAUUGAUAGACUAUUAUUACUAGAGGGGUAUAUUGGUAUUUUGUAAUUAGUGGGAUUAGUCUAUUAGUAUUGUUAGUUACUCUAUAUAUAUGACUAAGGAGUGAAUAAGGGGGCAUGGAAUUUGUUAUUUUGUAUUGAGCUACUACUCAUUGGGAGAGAACCAAGCUCUCCAAACUUGGUGUUUGGGUCUGUAAUGCUUCUUCUAUAAUAGAAACCUGCUUGAUUUGGUGUGUUAAAUCUCUGGUUCAUAUCAUUAAGGGAUUGUGGAGAUUGGAAACUCUGGAAGAAAUUUGGGAUGAAAUGGAAGCUGAUGGUCUUGCUCCUGAUGUAGUUACGUUCAACAUUCUUAUUGAUGCUUUAUGUAAAGCAGACAAUGUUGACAAAGCAUUUAAUUCUCUGAGUGUCAUGAAGAAGAAGGGGAUCUCGUUCUACUAAAUUGAUAUUUUCUUCUCUGAAACUGUGUUUGACUGUUUGUAGUGUUAGGAUUUGUCUUUUUGCCAAAUGUGAAUCAAGGCUGGCUGCUACUUUUCUUCUUGCCAAGGUCUUGUCUCGAAGACCCAUCUCCAACAUUUCUUCACAGUUGCAGAGAAAAACGUCCGAGACAAUCUCAUUGUCUCUGGUCUUGCUUUCUCUGUCAAAUAUGUCCCGGUUCAGGGCUCUCUUCUUGCACUACAAUCUGAUUCUCUCUGGUUUAGCUGCUUUCUACAAAGUUCUUCUCUUUCAGGGAACUUUUAUCUUCGUUUUCUAGCCGCUGCAUAUCAAAAUCAGUCAGAGCUGAGGGAAGCAUUCUGAACUCUGUGUGUAUCAGAUGUAUUACAGUACUUAUUGUGAGCUUGACCGGUGCCAUUAUGUCUGACUGGUGAAAUGGCAAGGGUUGUGGCUUUACAGUCUACUGCUUCAUCUUUCAAAGAGUACAAGUACAGGUAUCAGUCCCUAUGAUAUUGAAGGAUUGAAGAGAAAUGAUUUGGGGAGUUCUCCACCGUAGAGUUGCUUCGUCUCGGGUGAUGGGACAAGCCUGGAAAGCUAAGCCUACGGUUUCGGGUCAAGCUGUUAUCAUACUGCGCUUAAAGAGUCUUCAUUCAUUUGGAGGGAGAUUGCCUGUCCAGAGCUCUAGCUACCACACAUUCAGAUUGAGCAAUAGAUCAUGUAAGGACCGUUGGACACCAUCUAUUUCCCCAUUGGUAUGAUAUUGUCCGCUUUGGGCCUAAGCCCUCACGGAUUUGUUUUUGGGCACCUUCCCAAAAGGCCUAAUUCCAAUGGAGAUGGUGUCCAACUUUAUAUACCCAAGAUCCUUCCCAUUUCUAGCCAAUGUGGGACUUUGGUUGUACACCCAACAGAUCAUUUUCUUCAGAUGAUGGAGAUGUGGUUGACGCUGCUGUUCCUUUGAUGGGUGAAUCUGUUACUGAUGGGACUUUGGCAAAUUUCUUAAAGAAACCCGGUGGCAGAGUUGAAGCGGAUGAGCCCGUUGCUCAAAUUGAAACUCAUAUGGUAAUUUAUCUUAUGGAACUUCUAUGGUACAAACUUACAAUUAUUGUAUUUGAAGCACUUUGAAGGGUUGUUGCCGAACUUUAUUGUUUGUUACUCUGUUGUGUGUAUCAAUCGGUGUUGUCAGUCCUGUAGCUGGAGUUAUAACUAAGUAGCUUCUGGCCAACGAAGGUGAUACUGUAGAACCAGGCAUCAAGGUUGCUGCUAUAUAGAAAUCAGGUGAAGGUGCACCAGAAGCUGCUCCGUCGGAAAAGGCUGUCUUGUUAGUCAGCCGCCACCGUCUUCCAAAGAGGCCCCCAAAACAGAGACGACCCCUAUCAAGGAGGCAAAGAAAGAGCCAUCUCCGCCACCACCCAAAUCUAAGGGACCUCCAAAGGACAGAGAAAGACGGGUUAGUUAUAUUAUGCAUGUGUAAAAUAAUAUUUUGAUUUGGUUGGAAUUUCGACAAUUUCUUUAUUAUUAUUAUUAUUAUUCCAUGACAAGACUCAGGAAACGAGUUGCAACAAGUUUGAAGGAUUCUCAGAAUACGUUUAUUAAAAUAAUAAUUAUGUGAUUAUAAUAUAAAUAAUUAAUAUUUUUAUUACU